AACCUAGCACACCUGCGGUGUGUACCUGCGGAAGGAUCAUCAUCGAAUUCAUAUCCUUCUCCGACCGGAGGAGGACCUAUGAUAAACCCUUAUGUGCACCGUAAACCGUUCACUUUGGCAGGCUUUGGUGGUGAGCGUGAGCUCGUCAACCUCGCGUUCCCUCCCUAGGGGGGUUGCGCGUGGCGGCCGGCCGGAGUCCUCCAAUGAAAAACACGUUUUCGAACACGACUGAAAUUUCCU
rnacentral:misc_RNA from 1 species